UUUUUUUUUUGUUUGUUUGUUUUGUUUCUUAGUGCUGCACCCAUGGCAUAUGGAAGUCCCCAGGGAAUCAGAGCUACAGCUGCUGGCCUACACCACAGCCACAGCAACACAGGAUCUAAGCUGUGUCUAUGACUUAUAUCACAGCUCACAGAAAUGCCAGAUCCUUAACCCACUGAGCGAGACCAGGGAUCAGACCCUCAACCUCACGGUUCCUAGUUGGAUUCGUUUCAGCUGAGCCACUAUGGGAACUCCUCCGAGAGUUAAGUUAUAUUUGUGGCAAAAUUAGGACUUAAUCCUGGGAGAUAGCAACUCAGAUAGCCCUGAGAAACUGCUCCGAGGUGGAGAGGGAGGCACUAGGAUAUAUAGGAGUUUUUGCAACAAAGGGCAGGUAGCAGGAACAAAAGAGGCCAGGGUUCACUGAAAUCAUACCUUUGAUAUGCACCUCUGCUGUCAAGACCAGUAUCCUGAGUCAAGGAGUCAGUCUGCAGGACUCGCCUGCUCUCACCUUUGGAGGUGACUGCCUUCCCAGAUGACCAAGACAUUCUUUGCUUUACCCUUAAUUACAGACCAGGUACUUCAGAUAGCUCUGAAAUGCCACCCAAAGAGGAAAGGGGAAAAUCAGGAUAUGAGAAAGGUGAAGGGGAGGUGCAUGCAGCCAGGCACACAUUUUACAAAAGUCUGUUGUUGAUUUCCUGAAGGUCACAAGAAGCAGACAUCACCAUGAAGGAUUUGAAUGUUUUUCUAGAUAUGAGGAGGUGCAAGAAUUGCACACAUAAAAUCUAAAAAUAUCUGAUUAUCUGAAGACCUGUUCUUCCAGUCUUCCCAGACACAGAGUGCUUCACUCCUGAUUUUCACCCUGAGCUCUGCUCAGGGUGUGCCAUGGGCUGGUAGCUGCAGUGGCCAAUGAUUCAAUCCAUGUAGAAGCUUAUGGCAAGUGCCAAACUUCACUUCAUAGGAAGCUACCCACUACAUUCACCAGAGCUCUCUGAAGACCUGAACCAACUUACCAGGCUCUACUCAACAUUUCUUUGAUGGAAAAUUGUACUUCUGGGAGAUUUGAGCUGGUGAGAACAUAUGAAGUACUACAUUUCAGUAAAACAUAAUUUUUCAAAAAACUAAAAGGCCUUUUAUACCAUUUCAUUUUUCUAUCCUAAAAUUUAUAAUGGGCCCUUCUUUCAAAGCAAAUUCAUGUAUUACCUGCUUCAGAUAAGCACCCAAACUAUCUCUCUGGAUGUAUGCAUUCCCACACAAACUCAUCCAUUCAGUCCUCCAGCCUUUCCAGUCUCUAACAAUUCACCAACCUCGGACCACAUCCAAUGUUGUCUGGUCUAUAGUCUUUAAACUCUUUAUUUAUUUAUAUUGAACUUCAAUCUUCCAAGGCUACGUGAUUUAUGCAUAGUUACCUAGCCCUCAACUUUUAAAAAUGUGAGGUAAAUUCUCUUGAUACUUUAUUAUCAUAAAACUUCAUUUCAAAGAUAUCAUCCCUCUCUUACAUGACAAUGAUUUCAGCAUAUGUCCUUUUUUCUCUACUAAUGUAUAAGCAUGGUGACAGGCUUUCUCUUUGCAUUUUCCUCCCACUGCCCUCCUCUCAGAGUGGCAUCAUAUUAUUUAGGACACAGAUGUUAAAUACUCAUAUACUGCAUUAUGUUGAGUUAAUGUCUUUCAUAAAUAUUUAUGACUUUUCUUUCAUUUAUGAAAUACCAAUUAUUGAGCGGGCAUUUUCUAAAAGUUCAAAAAUCUUACAAAAAUGAAGCUUGACACUGCAGAAACCCACAUUACUUAAUUUUGUUUGUUUGUUUCUUUCUGACAACUUCCACAAGUCCAGCUAAAGGCUCACAGUGCUUCUGGGACUCAUAAAGGAAUGAGCUGCUAAAGGGAUAGAAACAGAUCCCUGAAUUCCCAAUCUCUAUAGGGUGAUGCUAUCUGCUUGACAACAGACAUUAUUCUCAAAUGAUGAAGGGCGAAUUCUUCCAAAACAAAGCCUUGUCACUUUUGACAGACUUAACAGACUUAUAGAAUGCAAAAUAUGUCUGGUUCUUCAGGCAGUAGGUUUGUCAUCUCCUUUUAUCUAGUAAGGCAUGUUCCCACAACUCCAGAAAAAAUGGAAAGGAGUAGUUCCUUAGACAAAUUAUUAAAGGUAUCUAUUUCUGAGGAAAGUAAGAAAGGAGAAAUAAAUAUGGAAGGAAUAUUUAACCUUUCCUUACACAAUCCUUGUGAGACAACAGCCAUGGCAUGUUAGAAUUAGAGGUAAAGGCUUCAAGUGAGAACAUCAAAUCAGGGUUAGGAUAUAUAUUAAAUCCAGGGGAAAAUAUGUCAGUUGAAUUGAUAAUAAGAUACAGUAAAACUCAAGAUAAAAUCUGGACAGAAUAUUGCAUUAUUUAUGAUUUAUGAUCAACCUUGAAAUUAUUUAAUUUUAAGAAAGUCUAAUUCUUUCAUUCAAAAAUAUUUAUUAAAUAUUCUGUUGGACAUAUAUUAGUCGGGGUACUAUUACAAACAAACCUCAAAACUCAAUGGCAUACUGAAAUAGCAGUUUAUUUCUCACUGAUGCUACAUGAAAAUCCUACAUAGGACAGCUUCAUGUACCACUCAAGUUUCCAAAUUAAUGGAGGCUCCAUAAUCUGGGAGAAAGAGACCUCCUUGAUCAUCUUGUCAAGGGAAGAAAUUCUUGCAAUUAAAUUCUUAGGCUCAGUAUGAUUCAUUCAACCACUUCUUUUCAGAUCCCAUUGAUCAAAACAGCCACAUGGCCCAACCCGAUGGUAAAGGGAUAGAAAAGUGUAUUCCUCUAGUAUGCCUAGAAGGACAGGAAAACUGACUAAAUAUCCUGCAUCCCCAUAAUAGGAUACAAAAAUUUAAUCAGCCCAUAAAUAACCAUCAACUUUCUGCUUUUAAACUCUGCCUGCAUGAUGCAUUUCCCUUUCAAGUAAGUUUAUGCUAGUAGGAGGGGAUGUAAUAAUGAAAAGAAAAAUCAAUAGAAGAAUAUCAACCCAAUACAAACAAGAGGAUAAAACACAAGAGAAUCAUUAUCUCCAUACUGUCUCUAUGUAUAUUACAGCUCAAAUGUAUCCAAUAUACACUGUCUGGCAUUGUUUUGGGCUGAUUUGUGUUCUGAACGGUUGGCUCCCAUUCAGAAGUACAAGACAUACCCAUUUUGAACAUCAUCAUUCUUGGCUAAGUAUCAUAAAGCAAGACACUAAGUAUGGAGGUGCCUUGAGUACCACUUUAAAACAAUCAAUGUAUUAUAAAAUAACAUUAUAGCAAAAAUAAUAGUAAUUGAUCCAUAGACAUCUGAAGGGUUACAUCACUAAAUACUGCCAACUACACUAUAUAAGUUGAUCAAUUUCACAUGCCAAUACUAAAUAAUAUGAAUAACUUGAUUGUUUUACUAAAUGGGUAUGUACGCAAUGGGUGCUCUUUAUAGUUGCAUAUUUUAUCUACUUGAUAACUUUUCAGGAGUAUGUUCAAAAUGACAUUUGCAGGGAGUUCCCGUCGUGGCGCAGUGGUUAACGAAUCUGACUAGGAACCAUGAGGUUGCGGGUUUGGUCCCUGCCCUUGCUCAGUGGGUGAAUGAUCCGGCGUUGCCGUGAGCUGUGGUGUAGGUUGCAGAUGCGGCCCGGAUCCCGCGUUGCUGUGGCUCUGGCGUAGGCUGGCGGCUACAGCUCCGAUUAGACCCUAGCCUGGGAACCUCCAUAUGCCGCGAGAGCGGCCCAAAGAAAU
rnacentral:lncRNA from 1 species